rnacentral:rRNA from 1 species
AACGAACGCUGGCGGCAUGCCUAACACAUGCAAGUCGAACGAGACCUUCGGGUCUAGUGGCGCACGGGUGCGUAACGCGUGGGAACCUGCCCUUAGGUUCGGAAUAACUCCCCGACAGGGGUGCUAAUACCGGAUAAUGUCUUCGGACCAAAGAUUUAUCGCCUUUGGAUGGGCCCGCGUUGGAUUAGCUAGUUGGUAGGGUAAAAGCCUACCAAGGCGACGAUCCAUAGCUGGUCUGAGAGGAUGAUCAGCCACACUGGGACUGAGACACGGCCCAGACUCCUACGGGAGGCAGCAGUGGGGAAUAUUGGACAAUGGGCGAAAGCCUGAUCCAGCAAUGCCGCGUGAGUGAUGAAGGCCUUAGGGUUGUAAAGCUCUUUUAACCGGGAUGAUAAUGACAGUACCGGGAGAAUAAGCUCCGGCUAACUCCGUG